AAACAAUAUCACAAAGUACCCAAUAAACUGGCAUUUAAAAACCAGGUAUAGUAUAUCUUGUACUGUAUGUAGAAUGGUGGCUUGGAAUGUCGCAGGUGGAUUCUGCUCCUCCCAAAAACAAGAUCAAUUCUUUGUGUUUCCUCAUCAGCUGAACAGUCUGUCAAAACUCUGACAGGAACACAUGAGAGAGAAAGCAGCAGGACACUAAAACAGUGAAUUACUUCAAGAUCACUAUGAGGAACUUAAAGAACAAGACUGAACACUCCCAUGAUGGAAUCUUAAAAAUGGAAGUCAUAUGAUGCUUUCUUCAAAAACAAAAAAUGUGGUAAUGCAAGGCAAGAUUUUGCCUGAGGUAAAGGACUACAUGAACCUGAUUACAAAUUAAACUUAAAUGAACCAUAAAACAAACAACAUUUGUCUUUCAAAAUCAACUGAAGGAUCAAGAAGGAUGCGUUUCAUCUUCAUCAAAGUUGGCGCAUCAUCAUCAUCAUUUCUGUGUUUCUGCUGUAUAUCUCAGGUGAGAUUUUAAAUA
rnacentral:lncRNA from 1 species